rnacentral:rRNA from 1 species
CGUGGGUAACCGUACCUAUAAGACUGGGAGUAACUUCGGGGAACCGGAGCUAAUACCGGAUAAUAUUUCGAACCGCAUGGUUCGAUAGUGAAAGGUGGUUUUGCUAUCACUUAUAGAUGGACCCGCGCCGUAUUAGCUAGUUGGUAAGGUAACGGCUUACCAAGGCGACGAUACGUAGCCGACCUGAGAGGGUGAUCGGCCACACUGGAACUGAGACACGGUCCAGACUCCUACGGGAGGCAGCAGCC